AAGCAACACAGAGGUGAGAAGCCAAGGACAGGAAGGAGGCUCCUCCAGAGGAGGCUCCCAGGACUUGGGAAUCUGCACCAGACAAGACAGCUGAGGCUGCCGAGACAACUCAGGGCUCGGAAGUAGUCUACUUAUCACAAGCUGAGGCCUAAGUGGGGGAAGGUGAGAACGGGGAGCCUCCACCAGCAGGGAUCUGAAUACGGACAGGAAAAGUGGGAAUCACAGAACUUUGUGGGAAGUUUCCGGGACGUCCGUCCGGCCAGGAAGCUUCCCUGAAUGAGCGGUGUAUGAGAAGACGGAGUGGAAGCUCCCUUCCAGGAAGGGUGGAGUCAGGAAUGGUGGAAGGAUCCUGCUCAGCCUCUAGCCCCAAGGACCCUGGCCUUCUUUGGGGGAAGGGGGAAGGCGAAGCAACCUCACCGGGCCUCAGUUUUCCAAUCCUACAAAUGGGGACGAGUCCCAAAAACCAGGAGCCUCUGUGUCCUUAUGCAGCACCUAAGGAGCUUUCUCGUAUCCAUAAUCAAAGGAAAGUUUACAUGAGGACCCUGACUCCAAGAGGGGCUAUCGAUCGUGUCCACCAAACAGGUGAACACAUGGCUCCACCAAGAGGCUGAGCGGAAAGCAGGGGGUCACCUCUCUCAGCCCCAUCGGUGACAUGUGAUACUACCAGGACCAUCCCCCCAGGGCCAUGGCAAAGAUUCAGUGGGGUAAACCUGUGCCAAAGCUAUCAUUUAACCCGGUACAAAUAUUAUUUGCAUAUUAGCACCCACCAAGACUUAAUACAGGGUCCCUGCUGUCA